AUUGUUUCUUGGCCUUUUGGCUAAGAUCAAGUGUAGUAUCUGUACUGAGCAUAUAGAACAUGCUUAACAAAGAUAAAUUCAUUGCUCAAUUAAAAGAAUAUGCCAUUUUAUACCAGGUCUUGAGGUGUGCACCUAUUAUCCCAGCACUCACAAGGCUGGGGCAGGAGGAUCACCA
rnacentral:snRNA from 1 species